rnacentral:rRNA from 1 species
AACGAACGCUGGCGGCAUGCCUAACACAUGCAAGUCGCACGGGUCGGCCUCGUCCGGUCGGUGACGGGCGGGUGAGGAACGCGUAGGUACCUGUCCGCUGGUGGGUGAUAACCGCGGGAAACUCCAACUAAGACCGCUGUCGUCGCCGCUAUGAGUUCCGGUGUCAGGGUCGCGCAUCGCUGGAGUUGUGUCGCCGUGGGGUGGGCCUGCGUCCGAUUAGCUUUUUGGCGGGGGAGUGGCCCACCAAGGCGUCGAUCGGUAGCUGGUCUGAGAGGAUGAUCAGCCACACUGGGACUGAGACACGGCCCAGACUCCGACGGGAGGCAGCAGUGGGGAAUAUUGGACAAUGGGCGAAAGCCUGAUCCAGCAAUGCCGCGUGAGUGAAGAAGGUCUUAGGAUUGUAAAGCCCUUUGGGCCGGGACGAUAGUGACGGUACCGGGAGAAGAAGCUCCGGCUAACUCCGUG